rnacentral:rRNA from 1 species
GACGAAUGCUGGCGGCGUGCUUAACACAUGCAAGUCGAACGGUGAAGCGCCUUCCUUUUUGGUGGGUGUGGAUGAGCGGCGAACGGGUGAGUAACACGUGAGUAACCUGCCCCCUUCUUCUGGAUAACCGCAUGAAAGUGUGGCUAAUACGGGAUAUUCUGGGUCUGUCGCAUGAUGGGUCUGGGAAAGAUAUUGUUUCGGUGGGGGAUGGGCUCGCGGCCUAUCAGCUUGUUGGUGGGGUGAUGGCCUACCAAGGCGGUGACGGGUAGCCGGCCUGAGAGGGUGGACGGUCACACUGGGACUGAGACACGGCCCAGACUCCUACGGGAGGCAGCAGUGGGGAAUAUUGCACAAUGGGCGCAAGCCUGAUGCAGCGACGCCGCGUGAGGGAUGGAGGCCUUCGGGUUGUGAACCUCUUUCGCCAGUGAAGCAGGCCUGCCUCGUUUGUGGGUGGGUUGACGGUAGCUGGAUAAGAAGCGCCGGCUAACUACGUG